CUCAAUGUUUGCCCAGCUCUUAUAAGGUAGCUAACCUUAUUAUCAUGUCCUUUUUACAGCUGAGCCUGUUGGGGCUGAGUCAUCUUUGUGAAUUGACUGCAGUCACAUAGAGUUGCAGAGGCCAGAUUUGUUGAAGAGGCUCCAACUCUAAGUUUAGCACUUUUUAUACCACAUCCCCCAGCCUCUGAAGCAGCAAUGAGAGAAGCAAGGAGUCUCCCCAAGGGAAGCGCUGCUUAUGCGUUGGCAUCAUUGACACAGGAGACAGGGCAUCCAUCCAUGCUGCUGGUCUGGAGAUCCUGUGAGAAACACCCUCUUAUUUACAAUGGGGCUGUGACACAUGAGAUCAACUCUCAGUGAAAUUCUAGCCCAAGGUCACACAGCUGGUGUGACGGAAAAGAAUCCACCCUCCAUUCUCAUUCUGGAAUAACAACGAGAUGUUCUUUCGCAGAGGGCUCAGACCAAAUCAAGACUACACGAUACAGCCACUACGUCCUUCUGCUGCUGGGAUCCCUUGGAAUAAAAUCAAGAAAAGACUAAAGGUGGGCUUAAUUUCACUACCCAUUGUAAGCUUUUUUGCCGUUUUAUUUCCUAAGCUCUGUCAAAACUCCAGAUUUUCAGCUCAAAAGUAGUCAUCUCUCAUUACAGAAUUUCCACCUAAUGAUUUGUAUUCUUCCUGUGGAAGGAAGGUUACUAGAUGCUCCUCUUACUUAGCUAGAAGAAAGGAGGUAAUUGCAAACCACUGGACUUGCUCGUGGACCUCCUGCCCUCACUAGGAUCACAGAUGUGCAGAAUUGUCAGCCACAAGGGCAGCACCUAGGCUUUGCCUAUGUGGGGUGGACAUAUUAGGAUCAAGAGGGGAUCUGUCUGUCUGGUUUGCAAAAGCAUAUUUAACAUCGUAAUC
rnacentral:lncRNA from 1 species